CUGCUUCCCAUUUUAUCCCCAAUGAAAGUAAAAAAUUAUUGUAUUUUCCUUUCUUCAUUCCUUCAGUCCGAGAAGCCCAGAGUCUUUAGUUUCUGCACUCUGCUUUUUUAUUUUUCUUCAUCCCCCAGAAAACCCACACACAAUCUCAUUAAGAAAAAAAAAAAAAAAAUUCAUGCUCCAUCUCCCUGCAUCUCUUACCUCUUCUCUUGCAAACAUAUGAAAGACUAAGGAAAAAUUGCGUUUGAGGUGAGUGGUAGUUGUGCAGAGGAGCUUUACUUGGAAAGUUUGCAGCAUCAAAUAGAAAGUGAUCUGAUGCCAAGUGCCCGAUGUGACCAAAGUGAUUCUUAUGGUAUCCUUUUAGUUAUAUGGUCUAUGGCGAAUUAUAUAAGUAAACUUUUUUUUUUUUAACAGUUAGUUAAUAUUUAAAAAAGAUGUUAUACUUGCUAUAUGGACCAUGAGGUAUACUAUCUGUGUUGUUUAGUUUGCCCUAAUUUCUUUCUGUUUAGUUUUCAGCCAAGGUUGGAAUUUCUUAGGCUUGGCUGGUGGAACAUUAUUAAUUUUCAAGUUGAUUACAAAUAUGCAGUUGGGGAUAGGAUAGGUGAACUGUCUUAUACUUACUCCUAUUUUAUGAAUUUGAGGUUGGUUGCCGAGAUGUGGUAUUAGUUUGCUUGUGGUUUUGUAUUAUAGGCUAAUGGCACUCAAGACUUCCAUGAUAAACUGAUAUUUACAGAUUGAGAAACCCAUACUAUUGGUUACAAUUCCAAAAAUGUGCUUGAAAAUGCCUUAGGUCAGGUGCAUAUCGUUAUCCUUGUGCACUUGGUUAUGAGGUUGAUGUAGUGUCCCUCCUUAACAUAUUGAAGUUGUGGGCUUAUUUUUAUUUUUUUUUUGUCUAUAAGUAAUAAUCGCUGCCCCCACACCCUUUCUGUGAAUUUCAUGUAACAAUUGGUGUAUUACUAGAGUGGAUAUCACGAUGGUCUCAUAGCAAGAGAAGAAGCUGUAGCGCAAGAGGGAUUUAAUAUUGGCUUUAAGGAAUCAGUCCUUGUUGGGUACAAAUGGGGUCUAGUUAGAGGUGAUACUAGGUAAAAGAAAACAAAAGAGGAAAAUAAUUUGAAUGCUCUAUUGCUUAUAGAGUUUUUAAUGAAAUUGCUAUAAGCAUAUGAUUAAAAAAGAAUUUAAAUGCUCUGUUGCUCAUAGAGUUUUUAAUGAAGUUGCUGUAAACAUAUGAUUAACUUCUUUUCUCUGCUACUUUUGUUUUCCUAUUUUGUCCAAUCUGCAUCCCCAUGAACUGUCUUCACUUUAGUUCCUGAGGACUUGAAAGAGAGCAUUUAAAUUCUCAAGAUGUGGCAAGGGAUUGGAAUGAGCUAAGGGUGAUAAACUGUGGAAAUGAGACAAAACUCCUAAGUGGAUUAGUCUAUCGAGGCGGAUUGCCCAAGGAAUUAUAUGUGCUGAAAGAUGUAUUAACUGGAAUGAGAAAACAUGUUCAUCUGCUGGACAUAACAACUCUAUCACAACUCAGAAAAGAUGCACAUCCUGGCUUUUAUAAUGGCUUUAGGCACAUGGACUGUAACCAUUGGUGUAUUGCUGGACUUCUAGAUACUUGGAAUCAAAUUUUUAUGCAUUUCUCAUAAUUGUUAUGCUUGUUCUGGUAUUUUUACUUUAUAAAAAUGAUCAUACGGUUGCUUAGGUCCUUCCUUCCAUAGAUCACCAUUUUUAAGGGAAUCAAGUUUCAAAACACGACCGAUCUUUUCAUUUUCAAUGUCAACCAGAUAUUGAGAGUUAAACAUCAUUAAUGAAACUCUACAAUCCUGGAUAAUUUAGAGUAUUUAAUAUAUUCAUAAUUUGAACCAUAAA